AAACUGACAGACGUGAGAGUUAUGUUUUUUUUCGCUGUAAUGAUAGUCGUCAACGCAGGUGGAUUCAGUUCUGAAUUCAGAGUGGAAGUGAAAAGGGGAGAGAAAGUCACCUUACUCGACGAGAAAUCUGGAUUGGAGUAUGUCAACAGAGUGAAAUUAUACGAAAAUCAGACAAGGGAGGAGAUCAUCAUCUACUGUUCCUCCGAAGAGAAGGUGACUGGCUGCAAAGCAAAGAACUCUUCUACAUUUUUACUCCAGAUUGAGAACACCAGCGUCUCUUUAACUCCUCUUGAUGCCAGUGAAGCGGGAUGUUAUGUUGUCGAAAUUAUGUGGUCAAGAAACUCGUUGUAGUCAACGGGUCACUGGACACUGCUAAAGCCUGGACAAUCGGCCUAGAACAAAUUUGCUUAAUCGCAGCGGGCAUCGCAGGAUUGACUGCAGUGGUCAUUUUGGCCGUCAUUGGUGUCAUCAACCGCAUAUGUCAAAAGACCCAGAGUAAUCCUGAUGCUGAUGCUGAUGCUGGUGAUGGAGAUCCAGAUGAGACAACUUCUGUCAUCUCAACCACCAGUGGAGGUAAAGAUGACACAAAUGAUUCCUACGAGAUGGUGGACAAUUCGAGCUUUUGCUCGGUUGAUAUGGAGAAGAAGAAACUUGGAGACCUGGACAUCUUCCGAUUAGAUAAUUUAAAAAAUAAUAAUAAUAGUAAUGAUUCUAAUAAUAAUAGUCAAAAGAACUAUAGUAAUAAUUAAUUAAUUUUUAGAAUCUUAAAAAAAAAUUAUUUGCUCUUGCAUUGCUUGCUAUUGUUUAAUCUUAUGAUUAAAUGAUUUCUUUGUUAACUGGCUUAAUUCAGCUCUUUUUGGCUUCUUUUAGUUCAUACAGUUU
rnacentral:lncRNA from 1 species